UACAGAGGUCUCAAGCGUUGUUCGGAUUCAUUGGGCGUAAAGGGUGCGUAGGUGGCGCGCUAAGUCAGGUGUGAAAUUUCGGAGCUUAACUCCGAAACUGCAUUUGAUACUGGCGUGCUUGAGGACUGGAGAGGUAGCUGGAAUUCUUGGUGUAGCAGUGAAAUGCGUAGAGAUCAAGAGGAACACUCGUGGCGAAAGCGAGCUACUGGACAAUUCCUGACGCUGAGGCUCGAAGGCUAGGGUAGCGAAAGGG
rnacentral:rRNA from 1 species